AUUCCAGCUCCAAUAGCGUAUAUUUAAGUUGUUGCAGUUAAAAAGCUCGUAGUUGGAUUUUGGGUGCGGCAGGCCGGUCCGCCGUUUCGGUGUGCACUGGCAGGCGGCAUCUUUCUGUCGAGGACGCGCUUCUGUUUUUCAUUAAUCGGGACGCGGAGUCGGCGACGUUACUUUGAAAAAAUUAGAGUGUUUAAAGCAGGCUUAUGCCGUUGAAUAUAUUAGCAUGGAAUAAUAAGAUAGGACUUUGAGUCUAUUUUGUUGGUUUGCGAGUCAAAGUAAUGAUUAAUAGGGACAGCUGGGGGUAUUCGUAUUUCAUUGUCAGAGGUGAAAUUCUUGGAUUUCUGAAAGACGAACUACUGCGAAAGCAUUUACCAAGGAUGUUUUCAUUA
rnacentral:rRNA from 1 species